GCGAGUUUGUUAAUUGCAACAUUUUCAUUUCAAACUGUCCAAUUGCAACCUUUUAAAUUAAAUGUAUAUUUAAGUUGCAGCCCAAUUUGGAUUUAGGGCCAAAAGUGACGUCAUGGUUAACCAUGGUUAACCUCCAACGGGAAAUUUUGUCCCAACCUUUUGUGAAACCCUCGAUUUUUCUCUCUCUCUCCUCUUUCUCCCCUGACCUCCAUUUUGUCUCUCCUUUCUCUCCAGGACCACCAUUUUCUCUCUUCUCUUCUCUCCGUGCUGGCAUUUUUGAAAAUACGUGGCAAUGACUGAAAAUUUUGCGUGAAGCUCCACACAAGCAUCUUUUACUUCGAAAUCUGGACCCAUGAUAUGCCCUAAGGAUUUUGGCAUUAAACCCCCCCCCCCCUCCUGAAAUUGGAAUUAGGCUGUUGUAUGGGGGGAUUUUAAGAAUAAGAACUUAAUGAUUAAUUGGGUUGGGGGUCAUUGUAUUUGGAUGGUCAAAUUCCUGUGAGGAGGAUAUGCUUGUUGAGAAAGCAGGUAGAGUAAAGGGGAAGAAGAAUAUGUGCAGCAAUUGCAAGCACAUGGGUCACAACAGAAGAAGCUGCAACAACCAAACAUAUGUUUCCCCUGUUGCUGAUGAAGUCCCAAAUACAGGGAAGCCCCCCUCCACUGAUCCUUGGUGUAAGCACAGAAGAGAAAAAGGAGAACAAAAUAAGGUUGCUAGAGUUGCUGUCAGAGAUGCUGCACAAGCUUCACAGGCUACAAACUUGGAUAUGGUGGGUUCACAAGCUUCUCAGCUAACCACAACAAGUUCUUCUAGGCCACCACAUAGUCCAAGUCACAUGAUGUCAGAAUAGAUAGUCUUGUAAUGCUUAAACAAUGUUAUGUUGCUUUUGAACAAAGUUUGUGUAACCUCGUUUAUUUAGAACAAUGUUAUGUUGCCUUUCUUAGUUUGGAGAACAAUCAUUUUUUUGGAGUUUGGAACAACUUUGAAUGCAAGUGAAAUUUGGUUGAACAAACACAAAAUAUUAUUUCA